rnacentral:lncRNA from 1 species
AAUGGGGCUGGCUGAGCACCGUGGGUCGGCGAGGGCCCGCCAAGGAAGGAGCGACCGACCGAGCCAGGCGCCCUCCGCAGACCUCCGCGCAGCGGCCGCGGGCGCGAGGGGAGGGGUCUGGAGCUCCCUCCGGCUGCCUGUCCCGCACCGGAGCCCGUGGGGUGGGGAGGUGUGCAGCCUGUGACAGACAGGGGCUUAGAGAUGCAAACAGACUCAGGGAGAGAAACAGAAGCUGAUUCUGUGACAGAAGCAGAUCUGUGCAGCACAGAUGCGGUGUGCGUGGGGAGGGGGUCGCCUGGGAGCGCAUUGCGGAGUGCUUGUGUGUGCAGAUUUUUCUCUGGGCUCAGGACUCAUUGUAUGUGGGUCAACACCUUCCUCCGUGAAUGUGUUCCUUUAAAAAUGUGAACAGAAGGAAAAACAGAAUGUGUGCAACUGGGGGUCUGAGGAAAGACUGUUUUGAAAGAGGCUGUCAGGGAAUGGAAAGGGUUAAGCUUUUCAUCCUGAAGAACCUGCUUCCCAAAUCAGGCCUUCCUCCCAUCACUAGACCCUGAGCAGCAGCUGGUCCUAGAGACCCCCCUCGUACUGCGCUGCCACAGUCUCAUCCCAUUUCCAGCUCUGUAUUAACCACCAAGCUGCAGCGGAUGGGGCAAGACCUAAGCUCAUUAAUUUCCAGGUGGAGGAAAUGGAGGAGGGGCAGGUCCCUGCAGUAGAGGGAGGAGCAGAGAAAGGAGGCCAAGAGCUGGAUCCUUCUGCCCAGGAAGCCUGCUGCAUCCCUUCCCCCGAGCAUGGCAGAGGCCUGGCUUUGCAAGGCCAAGGCCAUAAGGGAUGCUUAGGAGAUUAAUUUGAUUCCUGACACAAUAAUCAAGCCCUAAGAGUCUCCACUGAAGCUUACUGAGGACUUCUUUCCUCUCCAAAGCCUCAGUCUAGCCUGCUAAAUAAAUUAGUAUUCAGUGAUGCCUUGGAUCAGGGCCCCUCCCCGGCCUCAGUUUCCCCAAAUAUUUAUUAAGUACCUACUGUGUGCAAUCCUUGUGUAAUUAUUAACUCUUAGGCUCUUCAUUUGCCCUCCUAAAGCAGUGUUUAGAGUCAGGCAGAGGUUAAGUGUGUUGCACCUCACCUAGAUACUUCCAGAACCUUCUCUGGGUCUGCAGAAUGUGGCACAACCUGCUUGCCCCCGCAGAGAGAAAGCUGCAGUGCACAUCCUGCAGACUGCAGGUGCUGGGCUGCCUCUGGAGUCCCAGAAGGCAAGCUUGGCUGCAGGACAGAAAGGGAGAACAGCUUCUCUCACCCCUGAGCCUUCACAAGCCCUUGUCUAUUUGCCGUUGCCUUCAAAAUAUACCUCCCCCGAAACCAGUAGCUUUCUGAGUCCUGGUGUCCCCUCCGCCCUUUCUGGACAGGUUUGGGAAGAAGAAAGCAGUCAGUGCUGGGCCUUAUUGGGGUGUGAAGCGCCUUGCUCUGCCCCUUCUGCUCACUGUGAAGGCCGCUGGAUGCUUCUCUUAGGCAUGGUUUAAGCCUCCGAUUACUAAACCCCUUGCCCCACAAACGUCCACAUUGACGAGCCUCUUUUUAGUAACUGCUUCCCCGUAAUUCCUUCAGAGGUUGCUGUACCCUUCGCUGAUGUGCUGCCCUCCUGUAAAACCUCCAGAUGCCUUCCCACGUAAUGCCCCUUUCAGAUGCUUUAAGCUGAGAGCUUAAACCACAGGUACCAUGGCUGACGCCUGCCAGGUUUCUGCUGCAGAUAAUCUAUGAUGGGAGGGGCAUAUUUUUUACUUCAUUACUUAUGUAAACUCUUGUUCCAGAAAGCUUUAAUGUGUGUGGGAGUGUUCUGGGUCUAUUAGGUCUGUGCGCAUGGGUGUGGGCAUUUGCCUGUGUCCACCGGGUGGGUCUCAUUAUGAAAUGUAUGUUUAUGUAGGGCUUUAAUGGCUGAAAAUGGCAAAGAGAUGAAUAGACCACUUGGCCCCAUGUGUAAUUGCCAGGCCCCUUCUGUGCUCAAAUGAGGUGUCCGAGUGAAGGUCAGCCCUUCCCUUCUGUAUUUGGGGCCUAUUUAUGCCACCAGUAAUUUUAUAAGAAAUCUGAAUAGUUCUCCCCUUUGAGUGCAUUUAACUCUUUAGUAUCUUCUCUCUUACCUAUUUGAGCCCCUCUAGCUACAGUCUGGCUUAAAUGAAAGGGGAAUUAUAUGCUUAAGAAAAAGUAGGACACGGUUGAGGCAGUUUGCUGACUGAAUACGCGAAGAAGGACCUGAUGGGCUCAUAUGCACCACUGCCAUCACAGUCCCCAUCGUGAUGCAAGCUUAUAUGAUUCUUGAGGUAACUCUACCAGAUACUUCCAGAUUUAGAAAUGUGUCAAAGGAAAAAUUGGUGAUACUCUUCUUUCCCCUGCCAGAAACAGCCCAGAUCUCCUCUUAAGCGGAAAAGAGAUUGACCUUCUAGCAGAGGCAAAGGUAAACUCCUGUAAGUUACUUCUGUUACCAAAGGGAGGGGGGCGGCUUUUGUGAAUGUAUGAGGAGCUUUUGCCAGAGAGAUAUUCGGAGGAGGGGUGUGCCCAUAUGCACACAUAUAUUUUCCCGCAUAACCGUAUCCAAUGCUAGCAUUUAGAGGAAGGCAUUUAGCCACCAAAAGUCCAUCCAUCUAUGCUGCUUCCACAGAGAAAACAUUUUCUCUUUCCUCCUCUUGAACUUACAUAAUAUCCUCCUCCCAUUCCAACCUUAGAAUGGAGUCUUCUGGGGGCAGCUGCAAAGCGUUCUCCCUAGGACAGAUGGAGCCUCCCUUUCCUCAUCUACUCUGUGGGUGGUUUCAGGGCCCACGAGUCAACAUGAGGAGUUGUGCUGGUGGUAUGUGUGUUGGAGGCUGGGCUGGCUGAUUCACAGUGACGAGGAUGUCAAUAAUAACAAGAAUGAGAAUGAUGGUACCUAAUAAAGACUUUUUUUCCCAAGUCCCAUCUACAAUUCUUUCAUUGGGUGUUUUGCCAAGUCUUUCUCAAUCUCAUCUCAGCUUUUUUUUUUUUUUUAAAGAAAAUGUAUUCAAUACUUAAUUGCAUCACAAAUGUAGACAUAGAAGAAAGGACUUCAAACGGAAUUUAUGGGAGGCAAUGUGUGCGGCUUUUUGCCUUAUAGAGCUGUGUAGAAGGUCUGGAAUGAUCUUCCAGCACCAAAUUUAGAUGGCCUCAAAAAAAAAAAAAAAAAAAAAAAAAUCAGGCCUUAUUGAGGGCAAGGAAUGUUCCAGGUCAGAAAUAAAAGUGUCAGCAACUCUCAAUAGGUUCAUCUUUUUAUUUCCUGUCCUUCUCCCUUUUGUCUUAAAAUAGAAACGCUACCAAGACCUGAGGGCCUGGGUCAGGGGCCGGGAAGCCCAGAAAACAAACUUCCAGAAUCACUAAGGGCUUUCUCUCUCAAAAUUACAGUGGGAGGGUUCUUUUGAAAUUCAAAUCCAACCUAUUUGUUGCUUAAGCACACACAAAAUACUGAGACCUGGGGUCCAAGAGGCAAUACUUCCGCUGCAAGUGCAUGUUGCAACUUCGCGUGAUGUUCCCAGGGCGGUUCUGCGGCAACUUGCGGCUCCGCGACUGUGGGCGCGGGCCCCAUUUCGGGCCCCGUCGGCCGGGACCGCGCCCAGGGCUUCUCAAGUGACUCGCUUCCCAGCACGCAAGAGGCAUUCUCGUCUCUUUCUCUUCGAAUGCACCCGAGACUUCUCCAUGAAGCAAGGAGAAGAUGAGCAGGCGCUGGUUUCCCUUUUCUUUUUUGCUCCCAUUUCCCAGUCUUGAUUUUUUUUUUCCCUUUCUCUCUCUCUCCCGAAUCAUGCAGACCUGGAACUCCUAAGAUUCGGGUCCUCCUGCAGUUCCCAAAGCUUUGGAUCCAUCCGAGGUGUGGGUAGAUGCGGGUUAGUCUCAGGGUCUUUCUAGGAUGAGCCCCAAGCCCAAGUUCUAAGGCGAGGGGGAGGCGAAGAGGUCAGGGCUACAAACGCCAGGGACUGUCCCCGGAGAGGUCAUUUUUCCAUUUUCCAUGCACAUCGAUUUCACUCUAGCGCCAGAUGGACACUCGACGGUCAACGUUAGAGAUUUUUCCGGAGUCGGGGGCAGGAAGCGGGACGAAUUGAGACGAGGGUACAUCCUUUGCUUCCAAGGGUGGCCGAGCCAGACCGAAGGCCUGGGCGGGAGGUCACGUCCUCCCCUGGCCACCCACAGCGCUCCCCAGCCGCAGGCCUGGGCCUAGAAGCCGCGCCCUCCCGGCCGUGCAGCCGGUCAGCCUGUGCGCCCGGCGCCCGCAGUGCGGCUCCGGGCCUCUCUCUGAUCCACUUCAGUACCUGCGGCCUCGAGGACCCCACCGUGCAUCCCGGAAAGCCUCAGAACUUGCAAGAAAGAGGGGCUGGCAGGUGCAGCCUGGGAAGAGGACCCCGCCGCGAAAGCGCUUGGGGGUUGGGUUUUAUUUGCUGGAGUGGGGGGUCCGUCUCAGUGCAUCCUCCUGGAUUCCCCAUUAGGACGCCCCGCCCAUACAUCCAGCCUCCUCUCCCGGAUACCCCCAGUGACCCGGCCAGGGAGCGGGCAUCUUCCCCCAGGACCCAGAGACGUGUCCUCGCCAUCCCCAAACACCGUCCUUCCCCACCCCCGCAACCCUCUCCACAGAAGCCAAAACCACAACAAAAAUCUUCAACCCACAAAGAAAAAGACACAUUCCUCCUUCGGCCUUAGUCAGCGUUAGUUCCAGAUCCGAAGCCGGAGGGGACGGAGCCGCUCGAAGUCGGUUGGAAGGAAGGCGCAGAAGGCUCUUUCUGUCUCCAUGAAUCUCCUUGCAAAUGCAACCGCUGCUGCCAUUAGGACGCGGUCUCUGUUUGCAAAAAAAACUCAAUUCCUUCCAUUUCCUCAUCUGUUGGGUCCAUCAGCGUGCAGUGAGUGAUGCAAGGUCCCUUUGGGUCAACAGGCCGUCCCCUGAAAUAACUUUCAGAGCCCUGGCCUCAAGGUCAUGGGCCGGGUGGCCUCUACAGGCCACAGGUCAGGACCAGGAUGUGCCUGACUGAGGCUGUGCCACCGAGAGCUUCGGACGUGCAGAAAGGUGCCCUGAGCUGCACGGGGGGCUUCUGUCAGCCCCCUCCCACUCUACACAGAUUGAUGUGGCAAUAUUUAUUCCCAUUUAAUUGAGACACUGGUUUAAUUUCAGAUUGCUUCGGCUUAAGGCCCAAUGGGGUUUUCUGCAGCUCUUUUCCCCAGUGCCUCUACAGAAAUUAAUUGCUGUUAAUAUCCAAUUUUGGCUUUAUUAUUCGUUAGCCAAUUAUGUAUCCCAUAGCCCAGGCCCCUUGCUGCUCUCAGCCUUUGCUGGAAUCAGCUCACACUAUGCCGGGCUUCUGCUUUUCUGCCUUCCCCUCUAUUCAAACUCUGUCCUCCCAAGAUGAUUUACCGGCCCGUCAGGCAUUUUGCUUGUGUCCCAGCGCUAGCUGAGCUGGCGGAGGUGUCUUUAAGACGUUUUCCCCCUUUUGAGGGAAAUGUCUUCUUUGCAGUGGACAUAAUUUCCAUUUAAAAAGGAAUCUAAGCUUCUCCACUCUCGCUUCACUAUCCUAAGAUUUGCUUUCUCUGGAGCCAUUUUUGGAGAGCAGUUUUCCAUCAAAAGCAAGCAAGGUGCCCCGGCAUCAGGGCUCCCCUCCCCACCUCCCUAGGAGCCCCUCCGAGACUGUCUUAAAGCCACCACAUAUACAUAACACCAUAGAUUCAAACAGGGUGCUUGGAGGAUGUCAUUCCACAUUUCAAGGAGGGAAACUUGAAAAAGCACUAUUUUCAGAGAUGAGGAGGGCAGCUCUCCCCUCGUCCCCCACAGAGGCCCUGGAAACCAUUCCAGCCUUGCACUGCGCAACCCUGCUUGAUGGAGCUGAUGCAACUGGGGGCGAGAGCCUUUAAAAAGUGUUCUUUUGCCUUGGUUUUUUGUGCCUUGAGUUCACAGAAGCAAACACUUCCCAUCACUGGUGCUCUGGAAACAGAAACAUACAAGUGAGAAUCCUAACGACAGCAGAGGCCCUUCUUUGUCUGCUUCCUCUCCUUCCCCCCUUGGAAAGAAUGCCUCCCAUGCCUUAAUGUGCCCUCACACUUAUCUCUAGCAGUUCCGUAACAACCUGCGCAGUGUCGGCAUCAGAACCGAAUGCAGAGAAAACAAAACGUCAGAGCCGCUGGCUUGGACUGCGGCCCCUACAGAUGAAGCCCGAGCCUUCUACUCCUACCUCAGCAUCUUGCCGCCUUCAUGUGGACAAUUAAUCAACAGCAACAGCAUAGUGUGAAGUAGAGAUAGAGUCUUGAUAUGUUCCCCAGGCUGCUCUGGAAUUCUUGGACUCAAGCAAUCCUCCUGACUUGGCCUCCCAAAGUGCUGGGAUUACAGGCUCCUAUUCCAAAUCGGAUGAAGCACUGAAAACAAAGCACUUUCACAUCCUUCACCCUGAUCUGUAGCAUAUUCUUCAGAACUCUUAUGAUUUCAAGUGACAGAAACCCAAUCUGAACCAGCUGAAACACUCAGAGGCAUUUAGUAUCUCAUGGAACCCAGUGCCCCAGGGACAGGCGGAAACGCUGACUUGAACAUCUCUUUCUGAGUUUCUCAUCUCAGCGCCUCUCUGCAGAUGUUGAAAUCUUCUUUUUUUCUGCUAACUGGCCUCUGCUUCCCAGGUUCACAGCAAGAAACAUGGCCAUUGGGAUGUCCCAAGCUUUGCAUUUUAUAGCCCAGCUUAGGUCAGGUGGCCACCCCUGUGCCAGUCAACUUGACCGAAUGGAUGGAAAACCUCAACUGAUCAAGCUGGAGUUAAGUGCAUGCAGGGAGCACCUAUGGUAACUGCGGAUGGCAGGGAGGGCAGCCACCUAGAAAAAGGUACUGCUGGCCAGGUAAGACCACAGGUAUCCACAACUACCACCAAUCUGCUGUGAACAGUUCCUCUGAAGUUGUGCAAUAAGCAAGCCGUGUGAUGCUGGUCUUGGUAGAAUAUCUUAUUUCUAAACUCCAAACCAUCAGAUUGGCCUCUACCUCCCCAUUUGCCCUCCUCAGAAGAUCUUGACACCCAAGUUCACCCCAUCCUCUGGAGUCCUGUGGUUUGAAAUACUGACCAUUUGUCCCAAUCCUGGAGCCAAGGUCCCAGCAUGCUCUGUGUCCAAGUUCAGAUUACCACAAAAGCUGGUUGUGAAGACCACAAGUUGUUACCUAUUUGUUUUUUAACCAGUUGUAUAUACAACAUUUGGUGCUUUUCACAACACCACACUACCUCUGUCUUACUGUACUGUUUCUCUCCCUAGCAAGCUACCAACAUUUCCUCUCUCCUCCCUAAAACAUGAAAAAAGGAGAGAGAGAGAGAGAGAGAGACGCAGGUAAUGCCUAUACUCUCAUCUCCUAAGGGGUCCUUGAGACAAUGGAUUCCAAAGAGCAGUUUGGAACAUGAAGAAAACCCCAAUGGGGAGGCCCUGCUCCCAAGUCUCACUAAUUCUGGAUUUAAUUCUCCCCUGUGGGCCAGGUGGUGAAUUAGUGGCCCUCCCACCCUACCUUCUGUUUUCUAUGAUCUCGUCUCAUCUAAUAAAGGCUCCAGAUCUGAAAGUCUCUGAGACCAGAACCUUAGUCCAAUUAAACCCUGCUAAAGCAAACAAACUUGGGAAAGACAAAGAGGUGAAGAGGUUAACAGCAGACAAAACCUCCACUGACAAGCUAAAUUAGCCUUGCCCACCUCAGGAGAAGGUGUAAGGUGGACAGCGGAGACUGCUGGUAGUGAUUAACAUUUGCUCGAAAUUCUAAGGAGCUAAUUUUUUUUCCAAGUUAAAUGUUAACCUGUGAAAAGAGGAACAGUAACUAUGCGAAGAGGAAUGUGAAGAAGAAAACAGAAAGACCAGCCUGCUGGGUGGAUGUCUUCCUCCCAAAGUAGUCGAGACCAGGGAUUCUGAGGAAUAGUUUUCCAUUUAUCCUUCAUCAUCUCCAUUCAACAGGGCCGCUGAGCUCCAGAUGAGCAUGGAAAGAUGGAGGAGCUGCCAAACCUGACUUUGGAGGCCCUGGUCAGGAGCCCGUUGGAGGCCUUCCAGUUUUACACCCUUUGUGAAUUUGUCCGUGGGGUGGGUUUGUUCUGAUGCCAUGAGUAGCUUCCACUGGAAAAGGCACCAUCUCCACCCAACAUUUUAGGUAUGCUGGUGCAUUGGGAGGACAUUCUUGGUGCCAAUAAUCGUCUGAAGAUUCUUUGCUAUCCUUUGGUAGAGGCUCUAUUUACCACAAUGAAGAGUAGAAAGAUUAUGAUGUGAGUGUGUUUUGGUGUGUGUGUGUGUGUGUGUGUAUGUGUGUGACUAUUAGUGAAAACUGCUAGUAGUAUGUCAGUGUGGAGAGAAAUUCAGUCCUCCCGCAAGUGGUGAGGCUCAAUAUUAAGGGACAGAACAUCAGUGAGCACCACAUUAAGGCACUAUUCUCGACAUCUGGGAAGAAGCAAAGAAAAAUGUGUCAUGCCUCUUACCUUUUAGGGACUUAUAAUACAGGAAAGAGAAGACUUGUAUAAAUGGCUAAAAAUAUACUGAGGAGUAUAACUAAUAACUAAUGCAGAGUGUGCUGGUAAAAGGUUGUGUGGGUUCAGGAAUGUCAAAAGUUGCAGCUGCUGUGAAAGCCAAUAUGGCGGGUCCUCAAAAAAUUAAAUGUAGAAUUACCAUAUGACUCGGCAACUCCACUUCCGGGUAUGUUCUUAAAACGAUUGAAAGCAGAGACUCAGACAGAUAAUUGCACACCCAUGUUCACAGCAGCAUUAUUCACAAUCGCCAAAAUGUGGAAGCAACCCAAGUGUCCACUGGCCAAUGAAUGAAUGAGUAAAACAUGCUAUGUAUCAACAGUAGAAUAUUAUUCAACCUUAAAAGGAAACAAAUUCUGGUACGUGUUACAACAUAGAUGAACCUUGAGUGGAAGAAGAAAACAGAAAGAGCAGUCCGCUGGGUGGAUGUCUUCUUCCCAAAGUAGUUGGGAUCAGGAAUGCUGAGAAACAAUUCCCCAUUCAUCCUUCAACAUCUCCAUUCAACAGGGCCACUGAGCUCCAGGAUGAGCAUGGAAGGAUGGAGGAGCUGCCAAGCUUGACCUUGGGGACCCAGGUCAGGAGCCUUCUGGAGACCUUCCAGUUUUAUGCCCUUCGUG